UACAGGGGGGGGCAAGCGUUUGUUCGGAAUUACUGGGCGUAAAGGGCUCGUAGGCGGCCGACUAAGUCACACCGUGAAAUCCCCAGCUUAACCUGGGAACUGCGUGUGAUACUGGAUGGCUUGAAUUCGGGAGAGGGAUGCAGAAUUCCAGGUGUAGCGGUAGAAAUGCGUAGAUAUCUGGAGGAAUACCGGUGGCGAAGGCGGCAUCCUGGACCGACAUUGACGCUGAUGAGCGAAAGCUAGGGGAGCAAACGGGG
rnacentral:rRNA from 1 species